rnacentral:rRNA from 1 species
AUGGAGGACUCGAACGGCGCCGAGAUCAAGGCCCCGCCGCCAGUCCAGCGACGCCCGCCGCGCCCGCGUGGAGGCGGCUUCACCCCCGAGGGCUUCGUGGCCGCGCUUCGCCGCCGGCUGAGCUCCGGUGCCGCGGUGGCCGCGCGUGCCAGCUUCGCGGCGGACUCUGGGGACGAGUCCGGCCCCCCCGAGCCCUCCUCGUCGCACAGCCGCCGCGACUCAAGCGGGGACACCUCGUCCGCCGGCGGCCCCGGGGACUUCACCGCGUUCAGCUUCCGCGCGGCUGCCCCAGUCCACCGGAAGGCGAAGGAGAGUCCCCUGAGCUCCGACGCCAUCUUCAAGCAGAGUCAUGCAGGCCUUUUCAAUCUGUGCAUUGUUGUUCUCGUUGCAGUGAACGGCAGGCUGAUUAUUGAGAACUUAAUGAAGUAUGGCUUAUUAAUACGAGCUGGCUUUUGGUUCAACUCUACAUCAUUGCGGGACUGGCCACUUCUAAUGUGCUGCCUUAGUCUACCAGCCUUCCCCCUUGGUGCAUUUUCAGUUGAGCAGUUGGCGUUCCGUAAUGUUAUUACUGAUGCUGUUGCUACCUGUCUUCAUAUCAUUCUUACAACAGCUGAAAUUGUAUAUCCUGUGCUUGUCAUUCUUAUGUGUGAUUCUGCGGUUGUGUCUGGUUUUUUGUUGAUGUUUAUUGCAUGCAUUGUUUGGCUGAAGCUCGUAUCUUUUGCCCAUACAAACCAUGACAUAAGGCAAUUAACCAUUAGUGGUAAGAAGGUUGAUAAUGCACCCAGCACAGAUGACAUGGAUAGUUUACAAGCUCCAACUUUAGGGAGCCUAGUAUACUUCAUGAUGGCUCCAACACUGUGCUAUCAGCCAAGUUAUCCUCGAACUGAAAAUGUUAGAAAAGGGUGGCUGAUUCGUCAAAUUAUUCUGUACUUGAUAUUUACAGGUAUUCAAGGUUUCAUUAUUGAGCAGUACAUAAAUCCAAUCGUCGUGAACUCUCAACAUCCAUUGAAAGGCGGACUUCUGAAUGCUAUAGAGACUGUUCUGAGGCUCUCAUUACCAAAUGUUUACUUAUGGCUUUGCAUGUUCUAUUGCUUUUUCCAUCUCUGGUUAAAUAUACUUGCUGAGAUUCUUCGUUUUGGUGACCGUGAAUUCUACAAAGACUGGUGGAAUGCAAAAACAAUUGAUGAGUAUUGGCGAAAAUGGAACAUGCCCGUGCAUAAAUGGAUUGUUCGUCAUAUAUAUUUUCCUUGCAUGCGAAGUGGUAUAUCGAAGGAAGUUGCUGUUUUUGUAUCAUUUUUUGUAUCUGCCGUGCUCCAUGAGCUUGUUGUUGCUGUCCCCUGCCGAAUUCUCAAGUUCUGGGCAUUCUUAGGGAUCAUGCUGCAGAUCCCCCUUAUCACAUUGACAUCAUGCCUCAAAAACAAAUUCAGGGAUACAAUGGCCGGCAACAUGAUAUUUUGGUUCUUUUUCUGCAUCUACGGCCAGCCUAUGUGCGUUCUCCUGUACUACCAUGAUGUGAUGAACAGGAUUGGGAAGACAGAAUAG